AAUUCAAGAGAAAGUGUGAAAAUCCAAGGAAUUAAGCAAGGUGGUGAGCUAUUUGAUAAGGAUAAAGAGAUUACACCAAAGACCGGGACUAGGAGUAUUUCUACUCCUGAUACUAUAAAGAUUUUAUAAAUUAGGUGGUAGAUAAAAUAAUCCAUA